AUGCACGCUGACAGAAUGCUUAACACAUGCCAGUCUUUGGCGAAGCUGUGCUUGCACAGCCUAGCCAAGGCGGACGGGUGAGUAACGCGUAAGGAACUUGCCCUGCAGUCAGGGAUAACAGACGGAAACGACUGAUAAGACCUGGUAAAGUCAGGCGGACUCAUGUCCAGCCUGAUGAAAAGAGAUGCUGCAGGAGAGCCUUGCGUCCUAUUAGCUUGUUGGUGGGGUAACGGCCCACCAAGGCGAUGAUAGGUAGCCGGCCUGAGAGGGUGGACGGCCACAAGGGGACUGAGAUACGGCCCUUACUCCUACGGGAGGCAGCAGUGGGGAAUAUUGGACAAUGGGGGCAACCCUGAUCCAGCAAUUCUGUGUGCACGAUGAAGGUUUUCGGAUUGUAAAGUGCUUUCAGCAGGGAAGAAAAAAUGACGGUACCUGCAGAAGAAGCGACGGCUAAAUACGUG
rnacentral:rRNA from 1 species